GCUUUGCAAGCCUUCCUCUGGGUUAUCAAAAUCCAAUGGCCUCCUCUGCUGAUUGCUGUGCAGUUCUUGCAGCAUUACUGUGCUGUAAGCUGAGAUGAUCAUGGAGAAUGGUGGCACACGUUCCCAGAUGCAUUUGUGUUGGCAGGAAGCAACAGUCGGGCUCCCUGCUUUCUCAGUGGCAAUGAAAAGUGGCCCACAACACCAGAAGCAGCAGUUGUCAUGGAGACCACGUGAAGCUCAGCAGCUCCACUGGGGCUCAAGGUUAGAGGAAUUCCACGUAGUUCUCUGGGAUGAGGCCAGUCUUUCCAUUCAGAGUCCCCUCCAACCAGCCAGGCUCCUGAGAUGGAUGAACUGUAUAGGAAGAGAGAGAAGAGAUGAGGUCACAGGCAGCCCAGAAGGUGGCUGUGCUGUGCACUGGAAGAUGUAGGAGGGUCUCAAUCAGAUUUGAACGCACAGCAACCCUCUUGCUUCAGCAUUACAAGCCCUGGAAUUAGCAGCCCGAGCCACCAUGCACAGCCUGACCUAUCGGCUUUGUAUCCUUAAGCCCACAGCCCUACUUCUCAUGUUCUCACAGGUCCUUUCUUCAUGCUGCAGACUCGGAAUGCUUCCCUUCUGUUCCACCCACAGCCUUCCUUACUUUUCUAUACUCUAGAGCUUUUCCUAUAAACAAGUCAAAAAGCAGUCUGCUUCUUCUACUGAACUUUCAAAGGCUCCCAUCCUUUUGUUUUUUUCCAACAACCACAGAAUAUAGAUCCAUUUCUGUUAUGGGAAAUACCAAGAGUGAAGAGAUGAAGAGAUGGGGAGAUCUGGCUGAGUCUAUAAAGAAUAACAUAGUGGGAAGGAAUAGAGGUGGAACUGUGAACCUCAGUGAUGACUAUGUCUGGGGAGGUGGGGGUGUUACUACUUGUGAAACAGCUGUACAAGUACAGGUCAUUUUGGGGUGGGGCAGGGUCCUCGCUCUAAAUGGAUUAGGAAAACUCCAAUUAUCCCAGAUUGUGUGGAGAGAAUGGAUUCCCCCCCCCCCCCUGUUCCUUUCCUGGGCUAAUUAAGCGACUUCCUGAGCUUGUUUUAGAAACGCACUUCCGCCCCAGCACUACUGUAUGGUUCUAGUUUCACUUUGUAGGGAAAGAAGAACAGAAACCUAUGGAAGGCAAUGGGGAGGAAACCAAAUCACAGGCUCCAAGGCUGCUAGAAGAGCUAAAGUAUGUAGAAGCAUUUCCACACUUCCUUAGGGGAAGACAUGAUCAGAUACCUAUUAGCUGGCCUUCAAAAACCUUGCUAAACUUCCUCCCAUGAGUGAAGAACAAAACCUCAGACCUGCAGAGAGUACACAGAGAAGAGUCUGAAGCACUUAGGGGUGACUUGGCCUCUCCAGGUAUGAAAGGGCUUUCUAGGCCACUUAUAAGAAACACUGAGUAGGCUUGCCGUUUGCCUGGCUGCCAGCUGAGGCUGUCUAGACCCCUUCCAGUCUGUACCUCUACACCCACCGGUGGCAGGAUCUUUGCUGUGGUUUCUGGUGUGGAUUAAAGGACCCACCGCACCGUUAGUGUAUUGUUAACUCCCAGUGCAGCUAAGAAGUAAGGCACUCUCUCCGUAAAUCACAGCAAAGGGGCCGGGGCAAUGGCACGGGUGGGGAAAGCCUUUGGUCUGUACAUCUAAGGACUGAGUUCAAAUCCAUGUAAAAAGCCAGCUGGGGCAGGGUGCUUCUGCUACCCCAGCACUUGGAGCAAGAGCAAGAGACAGUAGGACCUCGGUACCUUUGACCUAAGUCUGGGCAAAGGGCUUGGUAUCUACACCCACCAAAGCUUCAGGAAACCUUAGAUGUUCAGAACCAAAAGUAAACAUAAUAAACUAAUUCCCUUGGGGGUGGGGAGGAACUGAUUUAGAAAGAAAAGAUCUGAACAAAAUAAAGGCAACCGAAACAGCUCUGCCCCUCGGCAGCAUGGCUGCUUGGAGGGUGGAUGCGUCCACCUCCUUCCACAGCUGUUCAAACAGCACAGGUACCUAGGUAUCUAUGAACCUGAGUAGAAUUGUCGGACUACGGCUAGCCUCGGACAAAACCAGGACGGCCUAGAUAGAGAUGGCUCACCCGGGCUUCAGGGGGUGAAACAGUCUUUGCAAGGGUCUGCUGACUCGUGCUAGACAAGGCGCCAACUUUAUCUAUGUGCUCAUGGAAUCUGUGGGUUCCUUAGCUCGAGAGCACCUGCAUUGCCACUGGUUUGCAGAAGUAAAAAGCUAUGACUUUUGUGUGACAAAUGCCUUGUAAUAAAGGUGGUAGUUAAGAAUCAAAGUCUGAGCUCUCGUCAGCUGAAGGAGGGAGCUCAGAUGCCCCACUGUACUCUGUUCUCUGGCUUUAUACAGGGUUCAGGUGAAGCCACAGCUUAUUCAUAAACAGUAUUAAGGACUUGAUUCUACCUGGUCCUCCUAUAUCCUGAUUUCUGGAAAAUUCAUAGCAUACCUCACAUGGUGUUCAUCGGUCCUAUUGUACUGAAGUGACAAAGCUUUGUUUUGCUAUCUGACUUCUUAUCAACUAUCUGGCUCAACAACCUUUAGCAACUGCUCCGUCCACUAUGACACAGCCAAACUUUAAAGGGUGAGUAUCAUGGGGGGGGGCAGUGCACAUGUUCACAAUUUCAGACAAAUUCAUGUGGACAUAGUCACAUGGGUAAGACCAGAAUCUGAACGGAGAGUAAAGCCUUCCUCUGCUCUAAGCUGCUUUCCUUCAGUUGGAGGAGGUGGCUCUUAAUGGUAAGAAGAGGUUGAGUGCACAGUAAAUAGCAGAAGCUUCACUCCCAGGCGCUCCACCUGUAUUAGUUUCAGUGUGAAACUAAAGCCAAUUCUGCUAGUAUCCUCAUUUACAGAUGAAAACCCGAGGCUCCACAAUGUUAAGCAGCAGGCUGAACCGUUCCAGGGCUGGGAGAUAAUGGAGGCACACCAGAGCCCCAGGACAUCUGACCAGUCUCAACUGUACUUAUGCCUGCUCAGGACUCUGACCGGUGAGACACUCGGUAAGCGGUGGGCAGACAAACCUGCCCCAGUGUCCAACGUGCUAUACACACACGAUGCAGUACUAGGAGCUGCCUGGGUGGCAAUCUUGCCUAGUGAGCACAUCAUAUAAGCUGCAACUGGCUUGGGCCUAACUUCGCUCUUUGCUAUAGACUUGGGUACAAUACAGGUUCCUGGCAGAACCUGGUACAACACAGGUGUCCUGUUUACUAUGGACAAUGGGCAAGUGUGUGACCAAGCUCUCUAAUGGCUGGCUACUCCCAGAGGGAAGAAGCCUCCACUGGAGGAAGCUAACAGAUGUAAUGGGUUAUUAGAAGGCAUUUACUCAUUACACAAAUGUCUUAUAAGCACCUAUGAGGGGCCAGACACUGUGCUAGGUUCUCAUAUAUGUCCCCUUAGGGUAGUGACAGAUUAUCAAUAAACAUAGUGAAGGGGGGAGGGAGAGAAAGAAAGAAGGGGAGGAGAGGAGGGGGAAAAAUGGGGAUUUGGGUAGAGGGAAGGAACUCAGAAAGUUACAACCCAAAGGCUCUCAUGCUAUUAGCCAGGAGUGCUUAGAGCAGAUACAAGGCCCUAAGACACAGAAAAGCUAGAUGUGAUCUCAGAAUAGUACUCUGUAAACUCCCUAUAAAGGGCCACACAGUAUGGAAAACAUAAAAACAAAAAACUAUGGGGAGGGGGUGUUCCAAUAAAACUUUAAUCACAAAAAGAGGCAGUUGACCAUCAGUUUGUGGAAAUGUGCUCUGAAGCUUCGAUGUGUAAAGUAAGAUGUGUGUGCACACGUGUUCAUGUGUACGUAGAAGCCAGAGAUCAGUAUUGGUGUCUUCCUUGGUCACUCUCCACCUUAUUUCUUGAGACAGGGUCUCCCAUGGAAUCUGGAACCCAUGAACUUGAUUAGAGAAGAUAACUAGCAAGCAACCACCUGUCUCUGUCUUCCCAGCAACUGUGAUUACAGACACUCUACCACAUUUAGCUAUUGAGAGGGUGCUAGGGCUGAGGACUCAGAGGACAAGCGCGUUACACCUACUGAUGUUUCCCUGACUCCCCAUCUCAAAACCUGAAAAGGGUAUCCCAAGAACCCAAUUUUGGCUAUAGCCACAUGAAUUUUCUAGGUAUCACUGAUCACACUGCUUCCAGAUGAAUAAUACUCCUGAGAACACAAAUUACUUCUCUUUCCAGUUACUGUCUAAGGCGCUGGUAAAGCGGGCAGUUUCCUGGUAGAUUGGCAAGAGCUGACACUGGAAAUAUUUCCCAGUAUUGCACAUCUAUCCCCUGCUACAUAGAGUCCAGGAGCUGACUAAGCACCACUUCAGAGUCAAAGUUUGGGCCCUGAAAUCCCAAGGCAGAGAGAUUAAUGGUUACAAAACAUCAGACUUUCACCUCAACACACCCUUCUCUUCCCUUCCUUAUUCCACACAUAAAGCACACACAUGACGACAGUGGCCUACAUGUCAGUAGGAAACGUUAAUCUGACAGCUGCACAAAGCAUCCAGGCUACUGACAUAGGCUUUGCCUUAUCCCUUCAGAGUCUAUAUAGGAGCAAUAGGAAAUGGCCACUUCACAUAAUGUCAUUAUUUCCUUCUGUCAUGCCUGAUUUCUCCCACAGAAUGAAAGUAGAUUUCUCCUCUAGAAUAGGACCCAGUGAAAUAUUACCGGGCAAAGCAGCCUAGAAAGUGGAUUAGCAUCUCUGUCUGGGGCCAGGGAUGUAGCUCAAAGGAUAAUAACACUUUUGGUGCAAACUUGAUGGCCUGUGUCUGAACCCCAGAAUCUCUAUUAAAAGCCAAGGCAAUGGUGUGCUUCCAAACUUCCAGAACUGCUAAGGUAAGAUGGGAGGCAGGAAGAACUGGCUGGAAGCUAGCCUGGAGUCUGGAGCACACAGCAGAAACAAGGGAGAUGCUGUGUCACAAAAAGGUGGAGGGAACUGACUCCAGACACUUCUCUGACCUCCAUGUGUGUAUCAUGGCAUGAGCAUGCCCACAGUCACAUGCAUGCACACAAUGUCAGCGUAAGAGAACUGGGCAUGGCCCCCGGAGAUUGCAGGAACCUGUGGGAAGGGAACCAAACUUGUCUUUUGCUACAUGUGUCUUCAGAGGGUGUGUGAUGGUUACCUCAUGGUAGUGGGAGGAGUCCCAGAGCUGGCUGGGCAGAGCACUCCAUUGGGAAGGGAAGGCCCUGGCAAGUAAAAAUCAUGGCGGUGCCUGCCUGACUUUGUGUUGUUGUUCAAAAAGGAAACUUAAAAAUGAAGGGGGGUGGGGUAUGCAAAGAGGUACAUGCUCCUUGUAAAGAUUGUCUGGCAUUUCCUCAGACAGUAAAUAUGGAGUUACCACGUGAUCCAGCAAUCCCAGGAGAACUUAUUUUUUAAUAGUGAAAAAUUGAGAACCAGUAAGAUACCCCAGCAAUUAACUGGUGGAUGUUCAAGAAAAAGGUGGUAUAGACACACAGUGAGAUACUACUCGGCCAUAAAGAGGAAUAAAGUACAGAUACAUGUUACAACAUGGAUUAAUGUGAAAAAACAUCACAUUUAAAAAAAAGGACAUUCUGUUUCAAAGAACACAUAUUAUAUAAUUCUAUUUGUAUGAAAUGUCCAAAGUAGGCCAAUAUUUGGAGACAGAAUAUAGUUUUAGGGGUAAAACCAGCAUGUUUGCUAAAGGAUAUGGGCACAGGUGUAUGGGUGUGUAUGCCCAUGUGUGUGUGUGUGUGUGUGUGUGUGUGUGUGUGUGUGUGGCGUUAUCCUGGAAUUAAAUCGUGGUGAGAGUUGUGUAACUCUGAACAUACACUGCUCAGUCAUGGCGGGGGUACAGCUGCUCCAUCGGGGAUGCCCACUCCGAUGUGUCUGCACAGCUGGUCUGUGCAGGGCACACUGACCAUGGCAUGGUUUGGGGCAGUCUUCAGCUGACCUAUUAUACAUGCCAGUCUGCUAGACUUGCGAGCAUCAGCUGCUGGCAGGAGAGGUGGCUGUGCUGGCUAUUUUAUGUGCUCUGAUUAUUAAAGCUCCGAGAAGAAAGUCAACAGAGUCAAAGUUUCAGGACAGUACUUUGGACUUGGAGGAGCAUCACGGUGGACCUUGGGCUUAUCAGGACACAGACAGUUUGAAAUUUGUCCCAACUGCUGCUGACCCAGGAAGCCCAGGUGGCCCAGGUGGCCCAGGCUGGAACUCUCCCUGCACUGUAUGCUCUUUCCCACUCUGUCUACUCACGUCUGACUAAUAAGUGGGCAGAAUACAGGUUGUAGGAUACACAUGGUAUCAGGAACUCUAGAUUUGACGGCAGGCUCCAACAAUAUAAACAGUAUGUAUGGCUAGCUGAUAAGUCAGGCUGGGACCAUCUUAACCAAAAGGCAAAGCUGCCCUUGCUUACAGAUGGGAGCGCCACAGUCUUUUUCUAAGAUAGGCACAAGAUCCUGACAAUAAAUAAGGUCAUAUGCAUCAAGUGCCACUUUAUACACACUGUAUAUUAGCUUGAUGUCCUUCCACUGUGCCCUGUAAGGUAAGUGUGUUAGCUGCUGUGACAGAGAAGAGAACCAGGUCACUGGGAAGUGAUGCCAUUGCUUCAGGUCACAUCAGAGCAAAUGGUCGGGCUGGAACAUGUACUGUGGCCUGGCUCUAGGGUUCAGGUUCCCCUGUGCUGUUUAGGCACCUCAACUGCCCUCCACCUCUGCUCAUUUUCUGUCACAUGGGGAGAGGCAGGUCUAGGGCCAGUCAGGGGUGCCCAGCCAGAUUGGUGUGCCCUUUGCCUCCACCCCACAUGAGGCCAGGAAAGAGCCAGAGCACAUGUCCGGGUCCUGGAAGCAGGCAGCUGCCUUUUUGGCUUGUUUUGAAGCAAUCAGAACUUAAUCGCUUGUGACCCUGAAGGAGAACUUCACCCAUGGAAAGCAACUGUCCCAGAAACUUGGUGUGUGCGCACAGGAAUCCAGAUGUUCCUCUUAGGAGAGCAGAGGAGACCCCCAAUGUCCCUAACCAGCUCUGCAUACACAGGGACAGGUCAGUCAUCAUCCGCAGUUUUACCUGGAGUCUUCACGGACCGCUUCUUCUGGCCUGUCAAAAAGCAAGUGCAGGUUUGGAUGGCAGGGAACAAAGUUGACGAGGAGGCUGAACACUGCAUGAAGAGAGGACCAAGCCAAUGAGAGAACAACGGCAGCAACAGAAAACCAAACAAACCCUGCCACAGACCUGAUGGGGGAUGAGUCGCUGGACGUGGAUGAGGUGGGCAUAGGGCUGGAUGGUGCCGAGAACAUGGGCCAUGAUGGCGAGAGGGGUGAAGUUGGGCUUGGAUUCGGGGGGCUGCAAGACAUAACAACCAGAAAACUCAUCAGCACAUAGGGAAGCCACGAUGGGAGCACAGGCGGUUCAUGGGAGGCCAAAUGGCAGGGCGCUAGAGCAGAACACAGGAGCAUCAAAGACCAGAGGCAUGCUGUCAAGUCUCUGUGCUCCAGGUCAGUCCUCUGCAUUUGAGGUAUUGAUGCACAGACAAGCCUCCUUGGCCUGUCUUGCUAAUGCUUUUUAGGUAACCUGAGGUUCUCCACGAUCUCUUUACCACUGGCCACUGUGGACAUGCAGUGGGCCUACCUACAUGAAUCAGUAUCCAUGUGUUUUGCUGCCUGCUUUGGAAUACACUGACCUCGCUCUCGUCCAGCCUUUAGCUUUUCACUGUUGUGUGCUUUUAAAGUUAUGUCUCAGCAGAAAAGAAUAUUUUUUUUCUGGGCCACAAAGGCCAUUCAGCCAGAAAACAAUUUCCUGUUUAUAUUUUUAACUACAUGGGCUGUGUGCCAUGUAGAUCCAAGUGUGCAUUAGGAACACACUAGGGGACAGGCAGGAUGGAUACACACCUUUCAGAGACAGCACUUAUGGCUGUGAGCAGCUCCCUGGAGAUGUGUGGCCCAGGUCUGUGCUUCCUCUUGUUCGCAGAUGCUCAGAGAGUAACCCACAACCAAUAGGCAAUUUUUAAAACGGAACCAAAACCUCAAAUUUGUCCAUUUCAUAAUGUGAUGAGCAGCUGAUCAAAGGGUCGGAGAGGAGGGGUUGAAGUUACCAUAAUCUGCCUCAUACAUUUUAGUUAGUCAUGUUGGCCAUCUGAAUUAUUUCUGCAAAUUAUACAAUCACCUUAGCACCUAGGUGUAAGUCACAGUAUGUGACAGAAAGUGCAAACACAGAGGGCUGAGAAGAUGGGGAGCGUAGCUAGUCAUAGAACCGGCCACAGUCCCUGGAGAUCUUCAGCUGGCUGCUAGUUGCAGAUGGGAAUUUAGCAAGAAUACGUGUGCGUGUGCGUGUGCGUGCGUGCCUGCGUGCGUGCGUGCGUGCGUGCGUGUGUGUAUAAAAUGCUGCAAUAUGAACACUUGUGUCAGCAUUCAAAUAAAAAAACUCUGUGUGAAGUUCAUAUCCUUGAAACUGAUGAAACAUUUAAUUAAAUGUCAGCAUUAGUAUUGUUCCUAUAGUCUAUGAAUCUCAUGAGCAAGGAAGUAUUGUUCUUUCGCUGUAGCAGGACUGUCUAUGUGAUCCCUGCAGGUAUUAAGAGAUAGCUAGUAACUACACGAGUGGCACUUGCUAAGAUACUCAGCAAGCCCACAGACAGGCACUGCUGGAAUUUCCACUUCACAGAUGUGAAGCCCUGGGCUAUGGUAGCUAGGCUUGACAGUCUCUACAUGACAGGGCCAAGAUUCACCCAAUGCUCUGACCCAAAGCCUGGGUUCUCGUUGCCAGCGUUCCGCUAGGCCCCCAAAAAGCUGCUUAACCGACCCAUGGCAUUAGUGGUUCUCCUAACCACUGACUUAAGACUUUCCUUCAGAUGUCUAUCACAUUUGUAAGGGAGAAUGGAAACAUAGUAGCUGGUUCAGUAAGACUCAACACAUAGUAAAUUCCAACAGGCUCCAUGGUCCUGUCUCCAGGGUCCUGUCUGGUAGACUCAUCUAGCAGAUGGAAUUCAUACAAGGGAAGAAAUAAAAUUCAAGAAUAGAUCCUUUUAUCAAUUUCUUCAAUCUGUCAAUGACUCAUUGAUGAGCACCCAUAAUGAACAAGACGAUAAGUACAAUUUACUAAAGCUCCUGGCUCACAGAGCUUAAAGCAUGUUUGAUGAGAUGCAACAGGUGAAAAAGAAAAGCAGCAAGCAAGACAGGAAGAAUCACUAUGGGAGGUCGGUGACUUGCUAUGAGUUGAGCUGUCCCUCACCUAUGCUGUGCAGCCUCCCUUAGUACUGAGCCAGCAGCUGAGGUCAUGCUUUCUUAGGUCUCUCUCUGUCCCACUUCAUAAUGUGCCAGCCAGGAAGGCCUGAAAAGGACUCCUGGAUCAUGGCCAAAACCAGAAAACUAAGUGGUACCAGGGGAGGGUCAAAGGAACAACCUGGGCUCAGAGGCCUGGUCUAAUCUGUUCCUGUGGUAACACCACCCAAACAAUUCAAAAGGAUUUGCGAAAUAGUUUAAAAUUACUUCUUUAUUGAGGAAAUGCCUGUAGCUUCCUAUCUCAUCUGUACGGGAAAUACAGUCUGGGAAUACAAUAUGGGGUUCUGAGUGCUGCUCUAUAUUCUCAGACAUCUCAACAGUUCCCGGGCAGGAAAGCAUGGCUGAAAUGAUCUGGGGGUGGGGGAGGGGGAGGGCCACUGUAACUUCUGUAAGAAGUGACUCUUCACAUCUCUUGUCAACUGCUAUAAUAUUAACUGCUCUUUUAAAUGUCUAACAGUGUUUUAUUUGUUUGCGUUAGUCAUAGCAAUAACAUUUACUUGCUAUGAAGUGACCAGAAUUUAAAAUCUAUUACCUCUGCGCUGGCAUUCAUUUAAUAACCACACGUACGCUCUUCGGUACUUUUUAUGAUGUGUUCCACUACUAAGGCAAUUAUGUUUUUCAGUUUAUACUUCAGAGACGUGUCAUAAAUGUCCCUAUCAAUAGCACUAGCACCCAUUUUGAUAUGCCGAAGAGAGCUUAUAACAACAGAAGGGUUGUACGCAUAGAAGUGAUUCCCCUAAGAGACACAGACAUUCUCCUUUAGUUUGGAUGGAAUUCAUACGGCAUAUAGGAGGGACAGAGAACAUGAACAGAGAUGAUGAUGAUGGUGAUGGUGGCCUAUAUGUGUACAACCAACACUUUUCUCUUUACGACAGCAACAGCUGGUUAUAGGUUCUUAAUUAAAAUGACAAGAAUUAACAACCAACCAACCAACCAACCAACCAACAAAAACCUCUCACAUCAUUACAAUCCCAAACAAAUCAGACCAACAGAAAAUGGUCAAUUUCACCUUCGGCCCUAAAACCUCCAAUAAGAAAUUCUGGAUUCUUUUCCCACUAAUAAAGCCAAACAUAACAAACAAUAGAGGUUAGAAUGGGAGGAAAUAACUUUCUAACUAGAGUUUGAGCAGAUGACCCCUAUAAAGGCUUCUUACAAGCCUCAGCCCAGCUGGGUAGUUCCCAGUUGAAUACCCCAGCACAUUUUUCACCCUAAAUAUUCCUGGAGGCCUGCCAAGCCUUCAUCAAGGCCCAACUGCAAUAAUGGCUUCAACUUUAGCGUGGAAGCAACAUUUACUGAGCUGCUUUGCAUCAAAUUGGAAGGCUUGCAUCAGCUGUAGUGUCCUAGCCCAUGGUGCCCUCAAAGGGAGUUUUCUGCCUAUGCAGUUCCUUUGACAUCCUCCACAGUGAGAGAGUUACAGUUUAGGAAGAAGAUAAGUGGGAGGCUUGGCAGCCUGUGAGGUUGUGGCUGAUAGUUCAAGUACAGUGUGUAGCAAUGUCAUCAGCUCGACACCCUCUGUGGUGAGUCACUUGAAUGAUAGGACGUGUGCUGUCCCGGCCAGGGUAUGCUUGCCAUGCUAUGAACAGUGCUCCCUGGGCAGGCUCCCAGACCCAACAGAAAGGCAGCAGACCCUUUCGGGUCUUUACACCAUCAUUAUAGGGCUUGUAUAAGAGGAAGGGUGCUCUUACUGCAGACGUAAGCUCACCAAUAUACAUGAAGUUUAUCUUGGGUGAGGGAUGUACGACAUAGUGUGUUUAUCUACAAGACAUAAGACCCUGGGUUCACUCCACAGCACAGGAGACAGAAAGGGAAGAGAGCUGAUCUUUCCAAAUUCUUAUAACCAAGUUAUGAUUUUGUAUAAAAAUGGAAAAAUACUUAAAAAAAAAAGAAAAGCAGUGAAGUUGUAUAUAAUUUUACAGAACUGAUAAUCACUAUACAUCUUAGCCAAUGCCUUCUGACUUUUGGGAUCAGCAUAUUAUAUACACAUGACUAUCAGGUUGUUUUGUUGUUGAUGAUGUUACUCAAUAGAAGGAUUUCCAAUGUCAUUUAAUAGGCUCUAGCACAUUUUCAGUGGUUACAGGGCAUUCUAUUUAUGGUGUGUUGUAUGUAGUCACUCUGUGUGUAAUCUAGAUUGUUCUCCCCUUUUAGCUGGUAUAAAUAGCUCUGCCAUCACAUCCUUAUAGAGGAUCACUGCCUGUGUGUCACCAAUUGUUUCCUUAGCAUAAAUUCCUGGAAGUAACAUUAGUGGGUAAAAGGUUAGGGAUCUUCUUUUAAGGGUCACAAUAUAUCCUGCCAAAUAGCUUUUCAAAAGAGAUCUAGUGAAUGCAUUCCAACAACAGAGAGCAUUAUCAUGUCCAAAAGACCAGACAGGUUGCUUUGGUUUUAAGAUUAGCUUACACUGCCCCUGUCCCUUUCCUGGUAUUUCCAAUGAUGUAAAAAUGAGUGUAAUAUCCUCUCGGUGCUCUGUUUCUACAUGGAAGCAAUAUUUAUGUCUCUAAAUUAUAUCAGCCUAAUGCUAAGACGUGAGGAAAGCACACAGACAGAUGAACAACCACACCAAGGAACAGUGAAUACCUAGUUGAGGGUGGGGCGGAGUCAAGAUAGUAUUCAGCUAGUCCAGAACUCAGGAAGACUAAAUAGAAGGAAUGAGUAGAGGGUAAAGGCUCCCGAGCCAGCAUCCCACUGUGGAGGAGACAUAAACCUUGCAUUUAUUCCUCUGUCAGAAGUGACCCAUGAUCUGUAGCCUACAUGCCUGUAGUUCAGGCCUGGGCCAGAGCUGGCCUUCAGAUCUGGAAUUAAUACUGAAGCCAUUAAAGCCAGUCUCGUCUGGCCUUAUUUAUAUGUCUUUAUCCUCUCCCUAAUAAGGCGAUGGAAAAGCCAAAAGCAUCCUGGGUAAUAUAAUUCCAAAUCAGUGAGCAACGGUUUCCUGGAAAACAUCCCUUUAUGAUUUUCCUUAGGAUAUCAUGCAAAGAGCAAGGAAGUCAAGCCAGUUGGGCGAGCAGGGCUGCAAGGAGCGCUGGUCAUCAGGACGACAAGAGUGGGUCUGAGCAAAUGAUACAGAAAUAAACAACUGAAAAUCACAGACUCCAUCAUGGUGUGUACUCAUCACUUUACAGAUGACACUGUGUAUAUGCCUUUAGGAACUUGCAAAUUGUGAUUUCAACUUAACAAGUAGAAAAAAAAAAAAGAAGAAGAAGAAGAAGAAGCUCAUAUGCCCCUGAACCUCUUUCUGUGUUCUUUUGUGACUUACAAGUAUGUUUCUGUAUUCAUACAGAUUCUUUCUCCUUACCCAUUAUAUUUUAUAUACAUUUAAAUUCUGAUAAUUGCAGAAUGAUUCCUUGUUUUAAUGAUGCUGGCUGACAAAAUUCCCUUCGGGUCUUAAUAGUCAGGGGCAGUUGCAUUCAAAAAAUACUUUUCUGAUAAUUUGCAUUAAAAUACUCAGCUAAUC